UAGUCCACAUACCCAGGCACAACAGGGUACAUUGAGUUCCCAUGCAAAUCCCUUGUCCAAAUUACAUCAGCUUAACAAACACGACAAUGGGUGAUCGAUUUUAACAUAAACAUCUUCAUUUCCAACAGCUCUGAUCAAUCAUCAUUAUCAAUUAUCAUCCUUCUGUAUCUACUGAGUCCCUAUCUAUGCACUUUGUUAGCCUUUGUUAUCUUCUUCGACAGUUGUCCUACGUUAUGUUCUUAUCUGUUGAGAUUUUUUUCUGCCAUUGCUAUGUCCUAUUAAGAUAUGGAGGAUGACUAUUAUCUAUUUCCCCUUCUCAAUUUUCAUAAACCAUGAUACUUUUGACAACUAUUGCUUACUCAGGCAGCUAUGGCUAUCGCUUUACAGGUGAUCAAUUUUCCCCAAUUUUGAUCGGAGACAUGGGUGUUCAUGUUAAUCCAAUCAAGAGUCUAUGCCCUGGGAAAAAUUUCUUCAAAAUUAGGACUAGAGUUAUCCGGAUGUGGGAAGUAUCCCCUGUGAAUGAUCCCUUGAAGCCGAUUGUGCACUGUUUUGGAAGAUUUCCAUGUCCUUUGUGAUGUAAGAAUCCCUUCCAUAGUCGACAACUCAGUGCUCUCAUCUCUUUAUAGUACUGAACCAGCUAGAGUUGUCAGCGAUUGAUCAUGUUACUUCAAUUCAACAACAGGGACGGUCAUGGAGCAUCAGGGUCCGUGCUGUUGCUGUGUGGAGAAUACCAUUUGACCACAUUACACUGACACCCUCUUGCUUGGAUAUGAUCUUGAUCGACAGAAGGGGGACAAAGAUACAAGCUUCUGUGUGCAGGAGGCACCCUAUUACUCGUCCUAUUGAAGUUGGAAGGGUGUACAACAUAUCUCAUUUCAAGGUUGUUUUAAAUGAUGGCAUUCGAUUGACCCCUCAUGACUUUAGGUUGAUAUUCCAUACCUGCACAAGUGUUGCUGAAAGCUUUGAUGUUCGAAUCCCUCGCAAUGGCUGGUCUUUUUACAAUACUCAGAUUAUUCGUAACAGGGUUAGUGAUUUUACCCACCUGAUUGAUUGUUUGGGAGUUAUUUCUGCUGCUGGUCAAGAGAAGCUCUUCAUAAAAGACAGUCAGCUCACUAAGAUGUUGCAUAUUGAUCUGCAAGAUUCAAGGGGAAAAAUUAGAUGUCUUCUUAUUGGGAGUUUGGUGAACAUUGUUGCUGACUAUUUGGCUUCUAACUGGACUAAGAGGUCUGUAAUUGCAUUUCAGUUUGUUAAGGUCAAAAGCUUCAAAGGCACACCUGUAUCUUCAAAAGUUCAUUUCAACCCAAACAUUCAUGAUGCUAUUGAGUUAACUAAAAGGGAUGAAAUGCUUAAUACCUACCCUAGGAAAACAUUAACUCAGCUGCUGGAAACUAAAGAGUUCAAAGUAGAGGUUUUUGACGGCGUCGACAGCGCUGUAUUUGUGUUAUACGACCCUGAGGCAGAACAGUUUACUGGCUUUUCAUGUGAAGAAUUGAUCAAUAACAUUGCACUUGAGAACAAAAGCAUUCCUGAAGGGGAGUAUCAUGAGGACAUUGAAAACCGUGUAGCUGGCUUGGAGAUGCUUUUAUGGUCCGCAACAAAGUUGGUAUGAUGUAUGGCAAGGAUGAUUGCUUUGAGGUGAUGAGGAUUUGCUGUGAUUUGGACAUAAUUGCUAUGUUGCAUGAUCAUGAUGCAAUAGUUACACCCAAUAAGGCCAAGUUCAUGCCAUCUUUCCCUAAGAUGGGGAAGAAAUCAUCUGCUGAUGAAAGUAGCUUGAACAUGAGUGACAAGAGUCUUGGGUUAUCUGAAUCCAGCAGUCUUGAAAGAGGUAAUCGUCGCCUGCGAAGGAAGCUGGUGAUUGACUUUGAGUCAGAAUAUGAGGAUGUUAAUGCUGUUGAGGAAGUUGCUGCUUAGAUCAAAGGAAAGAAACGUGUUGCUGAUACUGAGUUUGAUCUGAAUGAUGAGCCAAAGGAGACAAAUGCUGAAACUGAAACCAAAGAUGUAGCUGGGACUGAAUCUUUAGUUGCAGAUGGAGAAAGAGUUGUUUCCAUUGAUGGUACUCCAAAGGCUGUUGAAACUGAGGAAUCUAAAUCUGGAUUCACUUUAAGUGAAGUUGUUGCUGGGAAGAAGUUUAUUGACUUUGCUGUGGAAGAUGAUGAACUUGAUGGCAUAGUGUCUGCAGAUGAAAGCACUGAGGACAGUGAUCCUUCUGAAGGAGAAGACAUGGUGGAUAAUUUGGAUGAAUGUGGCCUUAAAUACAAGGUCAAGAUUGAACAUGUUGAUGAUGACAAUGACAAAGUGCUGAAGAAAGGUGUAUAUGGUGAUGAGGUGAUUGUGAUCUCAGAUGAUGAUGAGGUUGCUCCCUGAGCUUAUCUCUACCUAUUACUAGGAGGUUUCAGACUAUAUAGUCUGAUAUGCUGAAAAAGAUGCAGAUUGCCUUAUCUGACAAUAGCUCCAAAAACUUUUUGUUAUAGUAUUAGUAGGAUUAGUAUUGUUGUCAAGUUCAGUCCUCACUUUUUGAUGCAUGAAUUGAAUUUGGUCACUGUACCCUGACCACAGUUACACACUCCAAUUCAAUGCUUUUAUCUUUAUGUUUUAAUGUAUCAUGUAGGAAUCUCUGUCAUGUAACUGACAUAUCCAAUAUAUGCUGUACUGUGGACCUAUCUAUGUAUGCAAUGGUUUCUUUAAUA